rnacentral:rRNA from 1 species
AACGAACGCUGGCGGCAGGCCUAACACAUGCAAGUCGAGCGCGCCCUUCGGGGUGAGCGGCGGACGGGUUAGUAACGCGUGGGAACGUACCUUUCGGUAAGGAAUAGCCUCUGGAAACGGAGAGUAAUACCUUAUACGCCCUUUGGGGAAAGAUUUAUCGCCGAGGGAUCGGCCCGCGUUAGAUUAGAUAGUUGGUGGGGUAACGGCCUACCAAGUCUACGAUCUAUAGCUGGUUUUAGAGGAUGAUCAGCAACACUGGGACUGAGACACGGCCCAGACUCCUACGGGAGGCAGCAGUGGGGAAUCUUGGACAAUGGGGGCAACCCUGAUCCAGCCAUGCCGCGUGAACGAUGAAGGCCUUAGGGUUGUAAAGUUCUUUCAGCAGGGACGAAAUGACGGUACCUGCAGAAGAAGCCCCGGCUAACUCCGUGCCAGCCGCCGCGGUAA